rnacentral:tRNA from 1 species
GUGCCGCUAGCUCAGCGGGUAGAGCUGCUGACUCUUAAUCAGUAUGUGCGGGGUUCGAGUCCCCGGCGGCGCACCA